UGCUUUGCACAGGGGCAGUAUCAUAGCCAAUGAGGUUUAUCCAAGGUGUGAUGAUUGCUAAUUGGAAACUUUCCCAAUACGCUGCCAUGACAAAUUGAAAUGUAGUUGUGAUAUUGUGCUGGCCUAGAGCCAGA